AUGAACGCUGGCGGCGUGCCUAAUACAUGCAAGUCGAGCGAACAGAUAAGGAGCUUGCUCCUUUGACGUUAGCGGCGGACGGGUGAGUAACACGUGGGUAACCUACCUAUAAGACUGGGAUAACUUCGGGAAACCGGAGCUAAUACCGGAUAACAUUUGGAACCGCAUGGUUCUAAAGUGAAAGAUGGUUUUGCUAUCACUUAUAGAUGGACCCGCGCCGUAUUAGCUAGUUGGUAAGGUAACGGCUUACCAAGGCAACGAUACGUAGCCGACCUGAGAGGGGGAUCGGCCACCCUGGAACUGAGACCGGGUCCAGACUCCUACGGGGGGCAGGAGUAGGGAAUUUUCCGCAAUGGGCGAAAGCCUGACGGAACAACGCCGGGUGAGUGAUGAAGGGUUUCGGCUCGUAAAACUCUUUUUUUGGGGAAAAAAAAACGUUUAAGUAAUUGGGCAGGUUUUGAGGGUACCUAAUCAGAAAGCCACGGCUAACUACGU
rnacentral:rRNA from 1 species